ensembl:lncRNA
CCUCCAUCUCUCCUCUGUCUCUCUCUCUCUCUCUCUCUCUCUCUCUCUCUCUCUCUCGCUCGCUCACACACUGCUCACUCUGCGCAUGUAACUAUAGGCAUGUACAUACUGAAAAGGUAGAGCUAGACAACAAGGCCACCACCAUCGUCUGAUUGCUAUCGGCAGAAUCGCGCAAAUUGAAUACACCCACGAAGAUACAAAUAGAGAUCUAUGUUUUCGAAAUACACACAUUAAAUGUGCAACCAAGUCAAUAAAAUCCAGCACCUCUUUAGCAGUCAAAAUUUAAAUCUCUUUUUUAUAUAAUUGCUACCGCUGCACUCAAUUGUAAAGUUUUCCUGUCUUAAAGCAUACGUAAGGCAUACAUGUAGCAUAAGAAGGAAAUAGUACGAUUAUAUACAUCCUUUCUCUAGAGGAGAGAAGAAGGGGAAAAAAAAAGGCAAGCAGAGAAGAGCAACGCUGCAGAAUAUUCCCUCCUCCAUCCUGGGUCCUGGUGUUUUGUUGAUGCCUUGGUGGGGGUGCUGGAGGAUGUAGUUGUAGCUGCGCAGCUUCAAGGGGUCCUGGUUGGGGUUGGGUAUAGCAGGGAAGGCAGGCACACACACAGAGGGGGGGGUAGAGAGACGGUCAGGACAGGAGGCUGGAAGGCAUGCAGUCGGGGUAGGAGUAAGGAGGAGCAAAGGUUGCGGGACGGGAGGACAAAAAAACUAAAUUCUCCCCUCUUGGAAAACGAAAAAAAAAUCCAUUUGAAUCUGUUCAAGACAAACCCAAAAAGGACGAAAAAUGAAAGCCGGAAAAAAAUGUCAAGACAUACAUAUAUCAGCCCGAAGACGGGAUAUAUGUAUACGCAUCCAGAGAGAGGAGAAGGGGGAGAAGGAGAUGAAAGAGGAGAGAGGGAUAGAGGGAUGGACGGAAGGAGGAGGAGGAGAAGAAGAAGAACAGGCGACUGGCUCAAACACAGACACACUGCGCUUAGGUGGUCUUCUCACCUGAGCAUGGAAGAGCCGCUCAAAAUCUUCUCUGAAACCAUGACCCUGUACAAGGAGCUGACUAAGAAAGAUCACAGGGUCAUCACCACGGUGGUCACUGAGGGGAAGGUGUUCUACGACGCGGAGGACUAUCCCCAGCAGUACCUGAAGACGGUCGCUAGGGGGUACUGUGGUCUCAUUGGGACCGGGAACAUGCCUACUCGGACUGGAUAAGGAGGAGUUGUGAGGGCAUCGGCCGUGAGGACCGAGAGAGAGGGUGCAAUAGAGAGAGAGAGAUGGUAAUUAACAUAUCUGCAUUGCAAUCCAAAAAGGCUAUAAUGUAUUAAGUAACGUUUCAUUCAAAUUGUAAUUGUGCUUGGGCUCCACUAGGGGGCAAUGUAACCUAAAUGACGUAACCCAUUUAUCCCAAUAAAAGUUUUUUUUUUUAAUUUCACCUGCCACAACUUUAUUAAUGUUUAAAAG